rnacentral:rRNA from 1 species
UUGCCUACGGGGCGCAGCAGUGGGGAAUAUUGCACAAUGGGGGAAACCCUGAUGCAGCGACGCCGCGUGAGUGAAGAAGUAUUUCGGUACGUAAAGCUCUAUCAGCAGGGAAGAAAAAAAGUCCUUUGGACUUUGGACGGUACCUGACCAAGAAGCCCCGGCUAACUACGUGCCAGCAGCCGCGGUAAUACGUAGGGGGCAAGCGUUAUCCGGAUUUACUGGGUGUAAAGGGAGCGUAGACGGCAGCGCAAGUCUGGAGUGAAAGGCGGGGGCCCAACCCCCGGACUGCUUUGGAAACUGUAUAA